CCUACGGGUGGCAGCAGUGGGGAAUAUUGCACAAUGGGGGAAACCCUGAUGCAGCGACGCCGCGUGGAGGAAGAAGGUCUUCGGAUUGUAAACUCCUGUUGUUGAGGAAGAUAAUGACGGUACUCAACAAGGAAGUGACGGCUAACUACGUGCCAGCAGCCGCGGUAAAACGUAGGUCACAAGCGUUGUCCGGAAUUACUGGGUGUAAAGGGAGCGCAGGCGGGAAGACAAGUUGGAAGUGAAAUCCAUGGGCUCAACCCAUGAACUGCUUUCAAAACUGUUUUUCUUGAGUAGUGCAGAGGUAGGCGGAAUUCCCGGUGUAGCGGUGGAAUGCGUAGAUAUCGGGAGGAACACCAGUGGCGAAGGCGGCCUACUGGGCACCAACUGACGCUGAGGCUCGAAAGUGUGGGUAGCAAACAGGAUUAGAUACCCGUGUAGUC
rnacentral:rRNA from 1 species